rnacentral:rRNA from 1 species
GCAGCACGCCGCGUGCGGGAAGAAGGCCCUAGGGUUGUAACCGCUUUCAGUAGGGAAGAAAAUGACGGUACCUACAGAAGAAGGUGCGGCCAACUACGUGCCAGCAGCCGCGGUAACACGUAGGCACCAAGCGUUAUCCGGAUUUAUUGGGCGUAAAGAGCUCGUAGGCGGUUCAGUCAGUCGGGUGUGAAAACUUGAGGCUUAACCUCAAGAGGUCACUCGAUACUACUGUGACUAGAGUGCGGUAGGGGAGCGGGGAAUUCCUGGUGUAGCGGUGAAAUGCGCAGAUAUCAUGAGGAACACCAGUGGCGAAGGCGCCGCUCUGGGCCGUAACUGACGCUGAGGAGCGAAAGCAUGGGUAGCAAACAGGAUUAGAUACCCUGGUAGUCCAUGCCGUAAACGUUGGGCACUAGGUGUGGGUCUCAACCAACGAGAUCCGCGCCGUCGCUAACGCAUUAAGUGCCCCGCCUGGGGAGUACAGUCGCAAGACUAAAACUCA